CGGAAAUUCUCCAGAUUUGUAUGUCACUCUGAUAAAUGCGUUUGGCAGGGCCUGGUGCUGCGAAGAGAAAGAGAAAGAUCGACGCCACCUGAAAGCUGGAAUGAAGGAACCAGUCUGUACAUCACCACGCCAAAACUGGAACUUUUACAACCUCAGCUCUUUUGCAAGGCUUUCAGUGAUGUUUCUGCAGAACAGCAUGGUCUCCUCAACGAAAAACGGGAAAACGGGAAGGGAAAAAGCGACGA